AAUAAUCCUGCAAUAGGAGCGAUUUCUGUAACGGAUAAAUAAGUAGGGGAAUAAGACGAGGUCUGUAUGUUUACCGAUUUUGUAGUAAGGCUCACAAUAGGGAGUCUAGCCAUUCUGGGAUUUAAGCUCAGUGCAAUUUAUUUUCUAUUAAUGGUGUUAUUGAUAGGAACUCAUAAUAAAGAGUUUUUUGGUUGGUAAUACUAGUUUUAUUGAUGUA
rnacentral:misc_RNA from 1 species